GUUUCUGGUGUCAAGACCAGGUUCCCUGUGAGCUGCGACAACAUGGGGAUCAAAGAGCAACACUCCCGGGAGGAGGGCUGCGGUUAGACGGCCCGGUUUGAUGUUGGAGAGUCAAACGCCAGUCCUGACACACUCAAUAGUCCAGGCAGCAGGGUCUCCUCCAGAGCACUGACUCCAUCCGAGAGGAAUGCAUGAGCUGGAUGCUCUGACACACGCGCAGGCGAAGGCACACGCAAGCACACGCAUGCACGCAAACAUGGAUGCACAAGAGCGAACACACACGCACAUCCACACAGCUGUCUCUGGAGGUAGGAUAUCUGGCAGCAACAGGUGGUUUCAAAACACUUACUGGAAUCACAGUCACCAAGGCCCCACCGCUGACAAACUUGUGUCGCUAAUGUUGUGAGAAUUAGAUCACGGCAUAACUUCUCAGAAAAGCAACCACAAAAAAACCUGGUUUAUCCUUUCAGGUUUAACCUUCGGGGCUCGACUGGCUCUCAGAUUCACACCUCCGCGAAGUCUUAGCGUCUCCAGUUCACGAAACCUACGCGCUGGGAGGGAGAUAGGCGCACCUGGAGGAAAGCCAUCCCCGACACAUGGAGAAGGUGCAAAGUCCACAGAGAAAGAAUGGGUGUACUCGGCCUGUCUCCUGAUGCAUGCUGGGAUUGGCUCCAGCUCCCCUGGCGACCCUGGCCAGGAUAAGUGCAUGGGUAUUGAAUAAUGGAUGGAUGAAUGGACCGGCUCGGUUCAGAUGCACAUCCCAGACACGAUGACAUCUGUGAUGCCUGAGCUGAAAUCGAUCCACAUGCCGGAGUCGAGCUUGGACCAAUUCAUGCCGGAGGAAUUUAGGCAGGACUUUCACUUGGCUUUGACCAGAUCUCUGGCUGCUUUGUCCUUCCCCUCCUGAGUGUGGAAAAGUGGGUCAUGGACUUCUCACCUUUUCAUGUUUUCG